rnacentral:rRNA from 1 species
UGAGGAAUAUUGCACAAUGGGCGCAAGCCUGAUGCAGCAACGCCGCGUGGAGGACGACGGCCUUCGGGUUGUAAACUCCUUUUCUGGGGGACGAGCAAGGACGGUACCCCAGGAAUAAGUCUCGGCUAACUACGUGCCAGCAGCCGCGGUAAAACGUAGGAGGCGAGCGUUAUCCGGAUUUACUGGGCGUAAAGCGCACGCAGGUGGCUUAGCAAGUCGGACAUGAAAGCUCCUGGCUUAACUGGGAGAGGUGGUUCGAAACUGCUGAGCUUGAGGUUGGGAGAGGGACGUGGAAUUCCCGGUGUAGUGGUGGAAUGCGUAGAUAUCGGGAGGAACACCAGUGGCGCAAGCGGCGUCCUGGCCCACACCUGACGCUGAGGUGCGAAAGCGUGGGGAGCAAACA